AAGGAUCAUUGUCAAAACCUGCCCAGCAGAGCGACCGUGAACGAGUGAAAACNNGNNNNNGNGGUUCNNGGAGGGGGGNNCCCCCNANNNCGNCUGUCCGUCGGAACAUGGUCCCCCAUCGCGACCGCGCCGAAAGGAUGGCUGCAGGGUGGGGCAGUGUUUCCGAACUAAACCAAAAACCAGCGCUACAGGCGCCAAGGAAAUCUUAGCGGAAACAGGGGGUCGCACCGUUUGCGAUCGUGGCUUUCGGAAUCCGAUACUCGAACGACUCUUGGCAACGGAUAUAUCGACUCUUGCAUCGAUGAAGAACGUAACGAAAUGCGAUACUUGGUGUGAAUUGCAGAAUCCCGUGAACCAUCAUGUUUUUGAACGCAAGUUGCGCCCGAGGCCACUAGGUCGAGGGCACGUCUGCCUGGGCGUCACACACAGCGUCGCACCCCGCCNACCACGUUGCCGGGGAGCGGAAAUUGGCCCCCCGGGCCGAAAGGGGCACGGUCGGCACAAAUGUUGGUCCCCGAUAGCGAGCGUCGCGGUUAGCGGUGGUUGUAUUACUCACCCCCCGAAGACNUCAANACGCGCUGCUCCGCUGCACGACUGGACAAACGACCCCACGGAAUCGCCUCAUGCGGCAUCCACCCUGNGACCACAGGUCNGGCGGGACUACCCGCUGAGUUUAA
rnacentral:rRNA from 1 species